GGUUAAGCGACUAAGCGUACACGGUGGAUGCCCUGGCAGUCAGAGGCGAUGAAGGACGUGCUAAUCUGCGAUAAGCGUCGGUAAGGUGAUAUGAACCGUUAUAACCGGCGAUUUCCGAAUGGGGAAACCCAGUGUGAUUCGUCACACUAUCAUUAACUGAAUCCAUAGGUUAAUGAGGCGAACCGGGGGAACUGAAACAUCUAAGUACCCCGAGGAAAAGAAAUCAACCGAGAUUCCCCCAGUAGCGGCGAGCGAACGGGGAGGAGCCCAGAGCCUGAAUCAGUGUGUGUGUUAGUGGAAGCGUCUGGAAAGGCGCGCGAUACAGGGUGACAGCCCCGUACACAAAAAUGCACAUGCUGUGAGCUCGAUGAGUAGGGCGGGACACGUGGUAUCCUGUCUGAAUAUGGGGGGACCAUCCUCCAAGGCUAAAUACUCCUGACUGACCGAUAGUGAACCAGUACCGUGAGGGAAAGGCGAAAAGAACCCCGGCGAGGGGAGUGAAAAAGAACCUGAAACCGUGUACGUACAAGCAGUGGGAGCACGCUUAGGCGUGUGACUGCGUACCUUUUGUAUAAUGGGUCAGCGACUUAUAUUCUGUAGCAAGGUUAACCGAAUAGGGGAGCCGAAGGGAAACCGAGUCUUAACUGGGCGUUAAGUUGCAGGGUAUAGACCCGAAACCCGGUGAUCUAGCCAUGGGCAGGUUGAAGGUUGGGUAACACUAACUGGAGGACCGAACCGACUAAUGUUGAAAAAUUAGCGGAUGACUUGUGGCUGGGGGUGAAAGGCCAAUCAAACCGGGAGAUAGCUGGUUCUCCCCGAAAGCUAUUUAGGUAGCGCCUCGUGAAUUCAUCUCCGGGGGUAGAGCACUGUUUCGGCAAGGGGGUCAUCCCGACUUACCAACCCGAUGCAAACUGCGAAUACCGGAGAAUGUUAUCACGGGAGACACACGGCGGGUGCUAACGUCCGUCGUGAAGAGGGAAACAACCCAGACCGCCAGCUAAGGUCCCAAAGUCAUGGUUAAGUGGGAAACGAUGUGGGAAGGCCCAGACAGCCAGGAUGUUGGCUUAGAAGCAGCCAUCAUUUAAAGAAAGCGUAAUAGCUCACUGGUCGAGUCGGCCUGCGCGGAAGAUGUAACGGGGCUAAACCAUGCACCGAAGCUGCGGCAGCGACGCUGAUGCGUUGUUGGGUAGGGGAGCGUUCUGUAAGCCUGCGAAGGUGUGCUGUGAGGCAUGCUGGAGGUAUCAGAAGUGCGAAUGCUGACAUAAGUAACGAUAAAGCGGGUGAAAAGCCCGCUCGCCGGAAGACCAAGGGUUCCUGUCCAACGUUAAUCGGGGCAGGGUGAGUCGACCCCUAAGGCGAGGCCGAAAGGCGUAGUCGAUGGGAAACAGGUUAAUAUUCCUGUACUUGGUGUUACUGCGAAGGGGGGACGGAGAAGGCUAUGUUGGCCGGGCGACGGUUGUCCCGGUUUAAGCGUGUAGGCUGGUUUUCCAGGCAAAUCCGGAAAAUCAAGGCUGAGGCGUGAUGACGAGGCACUACGGUGCUGAAGCAACAAAUGCCCUGCUUCCAGGAAAAGCCUCUAAGCAUCAGGUAACAUCAAAUCGUACCCCAAACCGACACAGGUGGUCAGGUAGAGAAUACCAAGGCGCUUGAGAGAACUCGGGUGAAGGAACUAGGCAAAAUGGUGCCGUAACUUCGGGAGAAGGCACGCUGAUAUGUAGGUGAAGCGACUUGCUCGUGGAGCUGAAAUCAGUCGAAGAUACCAGCUGGCUGCAACUGUUUAUUAAAAACACAGCACUGUGCAAACACGAAAGUGGACGUAUACGGUGUGACGCCUGCCCGGUGCCGGAAGGUUAAUUGAUGGGGUUAGCGCAAGCGAAGCUCUUGAUCGAAGCCCCGGUAAACGGCGGCCGUAACUAUAACGGUCCUAAGGUAGCGAAAUUCCUUGUCGGGUAAGUUCCGACCUGCACGAAUGGCGUAAUGAUGGCCAGGCUGUCUCCACCCGAGACUCAGUGAAAUUGAACUCGCUGUGAAGAUGCAGUGUACCCGCGGCAAGACGGAAAGACCCCGUGAACCUUUACUAUAGCUUGACACUGAACAUUGAGCCUUGAUGUGUAGGAUAGGUGGGAGGCUUUGAAGUGUGGACGCCAGUCUGCAUGGAGCCGACCUUGAAAUACCACCCUUUAAUGUUUGAUGUUCUAACGUGGACCCGUAAUCCGGGUUGCGGACAGUGUCUGGUGGGUAGUUUGACUGGGGCGGUCUCCUCCUAAAGAGUAACGGAGGAGCACGAAGGUUGGCUAAUCCUGGUCGGACAUCAGGAGGUUAGUGCAAUGGCAUAAGCCAGCUUGACUGCGAGCGUGACGGCGCGAGCAGGUGCGAAAGCAGGUCAUAGUGAUCCGGUGGUUCUGAAUGGAAGGGCCAUCGCUCAACGGAUAAAAGGUACUCCGGGGAUAACAGGCUGAUACCGCCCAAGAGUUCAUAUCGACGGCGGUGUUUGGCACCUCGAUGUCGGCUCAUCACAUCCUGGGGCUGAAGUAGGUCCCAAGGGUAUGGCUGUUCGCCAUUUAAAGUGGUACGCGAGCUGGGUUUAGAACGUCGUGAGACAGUUCGGUCCCUAUCUGCCGUGGGCGCUGGAGAACUGAGGGGGGCUGCUCCUAGUACGAGAGGACCGGAGUGGACGCAUCACUGGUGUUCGGGUUGUCAUGCCAAUGGCACUGCCCGGUAGCUAAAUGCGGAAGAGAUAAGUGCUGAAAGCAUCUAAGCACGAAACUUGCCCCGAGAUGAGUUCUCCCUGACUCCUUGAGAGUCCUGAAGGAACGUUGAAGACGACGACGUUGAUAGGCCGGGUGUGUAAGCGCAGCGAUGCGUUGAGCUAACCGGUACUAAUGAACCGUGAGGCUUAACCUU
rnacentral:rRNA from 1 species